rnacentral:rRNA from 1 species
CACCUUUUGACCAAUAUAAAAGGCAAUGCCUGCCCAGUGACCAUGUGUUCAACGGCCGCGGUAUUCUGACCGCGCGAAGGUAGCGUAAUCACUUGUUUUUUAAAUAAAGACUAGUAUGAACGGCCGCACGAGGACUUAACUGUCUCCUUGGUCCAAUCAGUGAAACUGAUCUCCUCGUGCAGAAGCGAGGAUACUCUCAUAAGACGAGAAGACCCUAUGGAGCUUUAAACUUUAUAUCAACUAUCUUCAUUAUAUCUCUAAGGAACUAACACCCAAUUAAAUUUUCUUGAUAAAAGUUUUGGGUUGGGGCGACCAUGGAGAAAAAGAAAUCCUCCCUGAUGAUAACCUAACCAAGAGCCACAGCUCUAAGUAUUAAGACACUUAACUCCUAUUGACCCAUUUUAUGAUCAACGAACCAAGUUACCCUAGGGAUAACAGCGCAAUCCAUUUCAAGAGUCCCUAUCGACAAAUGGGUUUACGACCUCGAUGUUGGAUCAGGGCAUCCAAGUGGUGCAACCGCUACUAAAGGUUCGUUUGUUCAACGAUUAAAGCCCU